UGGAAAUGAUGAAAUAGAGAUAAUUGGAUGUGCCUUGGAAUGGAGUGUGUGUGGUAACUGGGAUUUAAACCCAGUUUAGACUGGGGGUGGGGGGUGGGGAAUGUAUGUGUGGGUGCAGGUGUGGGGAAGGCUUUGAAUGGGGGCACUGAUGGUGCAGUGCUGCUUCCGGAGUGCAUCUGAGGCCUGUUGUGAAACUCUGGGGUGUUCCUUACAACAGUGCUGAUGAUUAAAGCCCCAAACAAGCCCACCAGGACAAGCCUGGGCAUCCUACAUCUCUGACAGCUUCACUAAGGCCAGUGAACCUGUGAGCUGAUCCAA